CUUUUCGAGGUAGGAGUCGACUCCUGUGAGGUAUGGUGCUGGGUGCAGAUGCAGUGUGGCUCUGGAUAGCACCUUAUGGACAGUUGUGUCCCCAAGGAAGGAUGAGAAUAGCUACUGAAGUCCUAAAGAGCAAGCCUAACUCAAGCCAUUGGCACACAGGCAUUAGACAGAAAGCUGGAAGUUGAAAUGGUAAGUGAAACUGUAUCCAAGUAAGCAGGUAACUGGGCAAACUUCCUACGGCACAAAUGGCUUUUUAGUUACCUCCUAGUGCUGAAUGCAUUAAAUAAAUGGCGGAUUCUUGUCUUGUUAUGAUUAAUAAGAAAGUUUGUAAAUGCAGCCUGGAUGAUGAUAAGCAAAUGCUGACUGAACAUGAAGGUCUUAAUUAGCUCUAACUGACUAAAGGCAUUUGUUAGUUUUGGCAGGGGGUGAACACUCAUCUGUGGCUAUUCUAAGACCACUCUUAUUUCUUAGGUGGAGUCCAACUUGCCUGGACCAGCUUAAUGGUUCUGCUCCUGGUAACGUUUUUAUCCAUGGAUGACUUGCUUGGGUAAGGACAUGAAGACAGUUCCUGUCAUACCUUUUAAAGGUACAUGUUUUAUUGAUGUUAACGUUAAUUGAUUGAGCUACUGUUAGUGAUGAUUUUAAAAUUAAAGCAGAUGGGAAUCUCUCUGAGAAAGAAAAUGGAGAUUAAUCUUAAACUGAAACAGUAGUUGGGAAAUCUUUUAGAAAUCCACCUAUUACUACCUAUUGGUAAAGGAGAUUAAAUUUCUACAGGUAUGGAGAGUCGGCUUGACUACACUGUGUGGAGCAAGUUUUAAAGAAGCAAAGGACUCAGAAUUCAUGAUUGAAGAAAUGCAGGCAGACCUGUUAUCCUAAACUAGGGUUUUUAAUGACCACAACAAGCAAGCAUGCAGCUUACUGCUUGAAAGGGUCUUGCCUCACCCAAGCUAGAGUGCAGUGGCCUUUGAAGCUUACUACAGCCUCAAACUUCUGGGCUCAAGUGAUCCUCAGCCUCCCAGUGGUCUUUGUAGACUGCCUGAUGGAGUCUCAUGGCACAAGAAGAUUAAAACAGUGUCUCCAAUUUUAAUAAAUUUUUGCAAUCCA
rnacentral:lncRNA from 1 species